rnacentral:rRNA from 1 species
GACGAACGCUGGCGGCGUGCCUAAUACAUGCGAGUAGAACGCACAGUUUAUACCGUAGCUUGCUACACCAUAGACUGUGAGUUGCGAACGGGUGAGUAACGCGUAGGUAACCUGCCUGGUAGCGGUGGAUAACUAUUGGAAACGAUAGCUAAUACCGCAUAAUAUUAAUUUUUGCAUGAUAAUUAAUUGAAAGGUGCAAUUGCACCACUACCAGAUGGACCUGCGUUGUAUUAGCUAGUAGGUGAGGUAACGGCUCACCUAGGCGACGAUACAUAGCCGACCUGAGAGGGUGAUCGGCCACACUGGGACUGAGACACGGCCCAGACUCCUACGGGAGGCAGCAGUAGGGAAUCUUCGGCAAUGGACGAAAGUCUGACCGAGCAACGCCGCGUGAGUGAAGAAGGUUUUCGGAUCGUAAAGCUCUGUUGUAAGAGAAGAACGGGUGUGAGAGUGGAAAGUUCACACUGUGACGGUAUCUUACCAGAAAGGGACGGCUAACUACGUG